GACGAACGCUGGCGGCGUGCUUAACACAUGCAAGUCGAACGAUGAAGCCCAGCUUGCUGGGUGGAAGAGUGGCGAACGGGUGAGUAACACGUGAGUAACCUGCCCCUGACUCUGGGAUAAGCGCUAGAAAUGGCGUCUAAUACUGGAUGUGACCUAUCACCGCAUGGUGUGUAGGUGGAAAGAGUUAUCGGUUGGGGUUGGACUCGCGGCCUAUCAGCUUGUUGGUGAGGUAAUGGCGCACCAAGGCGACGACGGGUAGCCGGCCUGAGAGGGUGACCGGCCACACUGGGACUGAGACACGGCCCAGACUCCUACGGGAGGCAGCAGUGGGGAAUAUUGCACAAUGGGCGCAAGCCUGAUGCAGCAACGCCGCGUGAGGGAUGACGGCCUUCGGGUUGUAAACCUCUUUUAGUAGGGAAGAAGCGCAAGUGACGGUACCUGCAGAAAAAGCACCGGCUAACUACGUGCCAGCAGCCGCCGUAA
rnacentral:rRNA from 1 species